rnacentral:rRNA from 1 species
UGAGUAAUACAUCGGAACGUGUCUUCUAGUGGGGGAUAACUGCCCGAAAGGGCAGCUAAUACCGCAUGAGACCUGAGGGUGAAAGCGGGGGAUCGUAAGACCUCGCGCUGGAAGAGCGGCCGAUGUCCGAUUAGCUAGUUGGUGAGGUAAAGGCUCACCAAGGCGACGAUCGGUAGCUGGUCUGAGAGGACGACCAGCCACGCUGGGACUGAGACACGGCCCAG